GCACUCCUCCUCGUCAGUCACCGCCUGGUCUUCUCGAUGGAGGUGGAGGAGUAGGGGAUCCCGCCGGAUCAGAGGCAUGCGGGCACAGUGGUGGGCGUCUCCGGCAGCGGCGGCGACCUGCAGGCCAAGUGCUACGGCGGGGGCGCUCGAUUUAAUGCAGCGCCAUGGACCGGUCCCUGCAGAAGUGAGAGAAGAUGAGGGAGAGAGAGAAGGAAGGAGAGGAGGGAGAAAGGUAGAGGAAAGAGGAGAGGGAGCUGCAGUGGCGGAUGGGCCGCAGCAGCAAAGUGGCAGAAGGGUCCGGGCUGCAUCGAUGGUGGUCCGAGCGCUGCCGCCUCCAUCCUCGCACCAUCUUCGUCACACUCAGCCGCCUCCUUCCGCACCCCUCUUCUUCGCGCACGGCAACAGAGUCAGGUCCUGUCAGGGAAUAAUAUUAUUCAGUUAGCAUCUUUUUCGUGGAAGAGGAGUGAGAAUUUAAAGGUGCAUGCUACAUAGAAGCUUAGAUCUGUAAUCAAGCUGUGGAAGAAAGUACUGUAAGAGAUACUUCUAUAAGCAGAGGUUGUUGAUUGAUAUGCAGACUUGUUGUUUUUCAUUCAGUUGAAGAGCUCUCCAUGCUUAAGAUCUUUUCUAGGAUAAUUGCGUCGUUAAAUCUGAAGGAUUCGCUCAUGUGCCAAAGCCAGCUCGGGGAAGCCUUCCUGGACUCCUGGUUGACCACGACAAUCACGACAUGGUGAGUGGAUUUUGUCUUUCUUGAGCCAUCGGAUCGGAUUAGAUGUGUAUAUGGUAGUUAUGGACUGCUGACUGCUUAAUGUUGUGUUUCCUCUGUGUACUAUGGUGUGAGCUUAAGCGAGCGGAACGCCGAAGGAGGAUCUUGGGGAUGACGGAGGCAUCGACGACAACCUGAAAGGCGAGAGUGUGGGUUCAGAAGUGAGGAAAACAAUUUGGCUUGCAGGGUUCAGGCUACUCUCUUGUGACGUUGGCUUAGGAAAAGUUAUUCGGCUCCAUUUAUGAUUGGGUCAUUUCGCCGUGCUCUAGCCCCGCAUCGUCCCCUCCUCCUUGGUUGCCGCUCUCGUCCUCUGACGAAGGACCAUGGGGCUUGCAGCUGUGCCUGAGCCCCCACAAGGACGUUGGGUGGAGGAUAUCCGGUGCCAACGGGCCGCUCAUGUCGGUGUCCGAGAUCUCGGAGCCGUCGGAGUCCCCGUCACCAUCCGGAGACGGGUCGAUGGGGGAUGCUAUGAUGAAUUGGCCCGUGGAUAAGAAUAUUUUAGUCACUGGAGAGAUUGUUGAACAUGUGACAUUGAUGCAAAUCUCUGGCCACCUACGAGUGAAACUGCUUGAAGACCAAGUUUGAAUAUGGACGAGGGCAGUGAAUUUCGGCAUGCGAGUUUACUUGCAGUCUCUGACCCUAACGUAAUCAGUCCGAGUAGUGAGGGAAAGGCGCUGCCAACGAGGAUGUGGAGGAGAACAAGGUCGAGCCGGAUUGGUGAAGGGUGUUGAGGCUGGCUCUCUCUCCUCGUCUUCAACAGUGUGAAGAAGAUCGAUGUUGAAAUGGACGCAUGCUUCAGGAGAAGCAGAGGCGUCUUGUGAGCCUUGUGUUCUUCAUCGAUCUGUUUGUGCGUGCUCUUGGUCGCAUGCAUGCCUAAGGAUCGAUGGAUGGGAGGUGGGACACGAUUUUGUGUGGACACCUCUGUAUGCUCCAAGACUUAACUCUGUUGAUUUAUGGCAUGGUGAUUCGUGAUUGAUUUCGAUUGCACGGGAAUUCUAGGGAGAGUAGUGGAAAAGCUAUGGGGAACUUCUGUGUUAACGGUGCUAGCAGUGAGGGUUUCUUUUGAGCUUCUCUUCGCUUCUCCUUAAUAAUCGGACCUUCCUGCUAUGCAUAGUGAAUUUUGAUAUUUUGAUGAUGCAAGCAUUGUUGUUUCUAGUGGCUGCAAGGAUUUCCUUUGGGCAUAUUUUCUUCUAGCUUAAUUAGCCAGGAUUGUUGAUUUUAUAAACAAUAUUCAGACUGUUCCUUGUAUUAGCAAAAAUCAGAUAAGAAUUGAAUUAUUGUACUUAAAGACAACCUGAAUGUCUUGUGCCAUGCAAAAGAGAUGCUCUGCAUUUCCUUUCA